CGGCUCCCCUUCCAGCAUGGGGUGACGACGUUCUCACCAAGUCCUUCCCCUCUCCCGCUCCGCGCCUCCCUUGGCCCUCCGCUGCUCGUUUUGCGCGUCUCAAGCACCGGCGCAGGUAACUCCUAGCCCGCCCGGCCGCCCCGUCCCAUCUGCACUCUGCACAGCCCAGCAUGAAACCUUGCACUCACUCCAGCGCCAGGCGUACAGGUCGCACCGGCUCCGCCUUCAGCCUCAGAAAGAUUCCCAACUGGAGCUGUGAAGGGUGGCCUGUGAGGGAGGUGUCGCAAUCAUCCUCCAUUCGCAGGUCCUGAAAGGGGCACCCUCUCCCGACCUGGCUGGACUCGGGCCCCGCAAGAAGACCUAUCUCCUCAAGUUGGCAGGUGAAGAGAGGACCACCAGUAGGCCACAGCUAUGACUGAAAACAGUUUUAUUAAAAUAAGCGCAUCGUAUAACAGCAUGGUUGUAUUGUAUAAAUGUCCGCCUGACAUCUGCAAAUCCAUUCUCUCCACGUAACUCAGUCGCUCGGCUUCUGCGGCAAUGGCCAGACCGCACUGCUCGGACCAGGGCAGCUGCGCUCUCUCCGAUCUGGCUUCAACGCAGGCAGGGAGCUCCAGUGAACUGUCCCAGCUCUGUGCCACCCUCCAUAUCAGACUUGAGCGACACAGCAGCAGCAGAGCCAUGGAGACUGUCUCUAAGAUUGUUCAUUAUAGUAACAGCUUAAAAACCAGUUAGAAUGAGAGGGAAUAGCUGAUUAAAAUGCAAACGCAGGACACCUGGAAAGAGCGAGCCAGCCCAGCUGGUAGGUGCUCCAGGAUGUCCGUGGGCCUGCAGUGAGCUUUACCAUCCCCUAGCUGGAAAAGCAUGAUUAAAAAACAAACAUUUUAAAACAAAA